rfam:Ovis aries breed Texel chromosome 1, whole genome shotgun sequence.
GUCUAGGGCCUUACCAUCCUGAAUACACCCAAUCUCACCUCCUCUUGGAAGUUAAGCUGGUUUGGGCCUGGUUAGUACUUGGGUGGCAGAGAGAAUUGCAGUUAGAUAACCAGGACU